CCUGAAUAAAAGUAGUUAUAUUCUUUAUAACUCAAAGAAUUUGGCGGUUAAUUGAAUUUUUAGAGGAACUUGUAUUAUAAUUGAUACACCACGAUAGUUUAUACCUAUUUUUUAUUUGUAUAUCUCUAUUUUAUGAAUGUUCUAUUAGGAUUAUUUUCUUUUUGUUUAUGCUAUUAUGUUAGGUCAAGGUGCAGUUUUAAGUAGGUAAAUAUGAGUUACUUUAGUUUUAUAUUUAAUUUUUCUUUUUGUUUAAUCUUUAUAAUUAAUUUAGGAUUUGAUAGUAAUUUUAAUUAAUUAAUUAUUUUGAAUUUU
rnacentral:rRNA from 1 species